rnacentral:precursor_RNA from 13 species
GUGCUUGGUGCUGAUUCCUGGGCUCUGACCUGAGACCUCUGGGUUCUGAGCUGUGAUAUUGUUCCUGAGCUGGGAUCUCCGGGGUCUUGGUUCAGGGUCGGGGCCUCUGGGUUCUGAGCAC